AUGCUUUAAGUGAAAGGAAAUAUCCGUGUCGGGAUAAACUACGGCUUCCGGAUUCCUGGAUAGAGCAUCUCAUAGGAAAGUACCGUUAGAAAGAUCAACUCGUAAUUGAUUGAGUAUAAAUAACCUCUAGAGGGAGGUCGCGGGAAACUAUGAUGAAACUCCUAGAAGUGGGCGUGCCUGGCAGAAGGAGUAGGUCGAAAACUGGUUGCUGAAGCAGCGUAAGCUCCCUGAUGUAAGCUCCCUGAAUAAAUUCACAGCAAUACAUCAAAGCAAUAUGAGAGUUGGCCAGUAUAAAUAAAUUCCCUGUUAACAGGAAGAGGGUUUGCAAAUCCAAUGUCGGGAGACACGGACCUCAUGGGAAGAAGAAACAACUCUAGUGUUAGAGAGAUACUGUUAAUGAGCUCUAACAUGUUCAAAUAUCUUAUUUAAG
rnacentral:ncRNA from 1 species